GUCCACGCCGUAACGAUGGCAACUAGGUUUGGGAGGCUUCGACCCCUUCCGAGCCGCCGCUAACGCAUUAAGUUGCCCGCCUGGGAGUACGAUCGCAAGAUUAAAACUCAAAGGAAUUGACGGGGCCCGCACAAGCGGUGGAGCGUGUGGUUUAAUUCGAUGCUACGCGAAAACCUCACCCAGGCUUGACAUCCCUGGAAUCAUUGGGAAAACCAGUGAGUGCCCCUUCGGGGGAGCCAGGAGACAGGUGCUGCAUGGCUGUCGU
rnacentral:rRNA from 1 species